GACGAACGCUGGCGGCGUGCUUAACACAUGCAAGUCGAGCGGUAAGGCCCUUUCGGGGGUACACGAGCGGCGAACGGGUGAGUAACACGUGGGUGACCUGCCCUCAGCUCUGGGAUAAGCCUGGGAAACUGGGUCUAAUACUGGAUAUGACUCCACGGUGCAUGUCGUGGGGUGGAAAGCCUUGUGCGGCUGAGGAUGGGGCCCGCGGCCUAUCAGCUUGUUGGUGGGGUGANGGCCUACCAAGGCGACGACGGGUAGCCGGCCUGAGAGGGCGACCGGCCACACUGGGACUGAGACACGGCCCAGACUCCUACGGGAGGCAGCAGUGGGGAAGUCUUGCGCAAUGGGCGAAAGCCUGACGCAGCGACGCCGCGUGAGGGAUGACGGCCU
rnacentral:rRNA from 1 species